GCAUUGUCCAACAAAUGAUAAACAGGUGAUUGAACUAUCAGGAUGAGUACAGAAGCAGAUCACUAUGUACAAUUAGAACUGAGCAUGGAUGGAGGAGAGAUGACCACCAGUGGAUGAGGAUGAAACACUGCCAGAUGUAUUUCAUUUUCUUCCUGGACCUGUGGGACACUGACAUUUUCCAUCUCCCCUUGCAUCUAGGAAUGAGUCAGUGGAUGUAGAUGGAAGUAACAUAAGGCAUUUCCAGAAAUGGCCCAUAGAAUGUUCCAAUGAUGAUUCACAGUUUCUCCGCUCUGCAUGACUGGAAGUGAAGGAUACCAAGAUGGUAGAAGUUCAAGAGGGAAGGAACUGAUCUAUGAACUUUCCAUGAGAAAGAAGUCCUGGGGGAGCACAUUUAUCUACUCUGAAAUUCUUCCAGAAUCUCUCAGUUGGUGAGUCAGUGUGACACUGACCGACAAGGAUGGAGACAAGCCACUGUUAAGCUCGUUAAUGGGAGGACUCUGACACUGUUACGGUGGUUUUGUGUUCCGGGCCACCUAGCAGGCAUGGAGAAUUGUGUGAAUACUCCUACAGGAGUCGUCUGUGUAUGGGUG
rnacentral:lncRNA from 1 species